GAAUUUGUGACUGGUUCCAGGGAUAGACCGAACUAGGCAAUGUGUACACGGGCCAAUACUUUGGAACAAAUGGAUGUGAAAAACAAAGCUAUCCUAGAAAAUUUUUGGUCAGCAUGACUCGGGCUAGUCGUUGAGUGAACACAGUGCUGAUGAGACUAGAGUUCUUUGGUGGCAUCCCAUUUCUCGCAUCUCUGGGAGAGAUGAUAUUUACCCUGCUGACUAUAUCCAGCUGGCAACAGAAGAUCCUGUUAGGAUUCAGAGCAAUAAGGAUGCAGUAGGGCUGCGGGUCCAUACAGUGCAGGAUGCAGUUUGUGACUGUUUUGUCCUAUUGGGGCUUUUAGUUGCUGUUAUGAGAGAUAAUAGCCUGCCAACAGGGCAAUUCCAGUACUAUCUCUCCCACUUACACAUGGUUUGCAUGACCACCUUUGAUCCGAGG
rnacentral:lncRNA from 1 species